AAUAUAAUUCUUUAAUUGGAAGUGGGUAAAAUUUAAUUUUUCAUGAUGGCUUGUUCUAACAACUGACUUGCAACACUCCUGACAUUCCAAGUCAUCACCUCUCUGCGGCGGCAUACCACCAGCAGCAAGGUAACAGUUGUGAACAAAGCUCUGCUUGACCCCAAAACCUGGUCUCUUGCUUUUUGAAGCUUCAUAUGGAACCCCUAAAUAGAACAGAAGCAUCUAGGGGAAAUCGCUCACCAGGCUGUGUUGUAACUCGGGGCGCAAGACCGGCACUGUUCAUGGGAAGACCACCUCCCUUCUCAUCUUUCAGGACUUGGGAAGAAUUUAUGACAGAGUGUGCCCUACACCCUGCCAGGGCAUAGGCAGCAUCAUUUAAAUGACAAAGACCCUGUUACUUAGUAUAAGCUAACAGAGACAAAUGCUAACACAGUGAAGCAAAGCACCCAAGAAAAUGAGACCAGCACCAAAAAGGAAAGAGAUCAUAAAAGCUAAAAGUAACCAGGCCACAAGUAUGAUAUAAACUAUAUGCUUUCUUGUGUUCGUCCUCUUUUAUAUUUUACUUUUGCAGACCUCUGUAAUCGGAGGACAGCGGGGAUAAAAGUGAGUGUGCAGUGAUAGGCCCGCGUGGGGAUUUGUCAACUAUUUUCAAAUUCCACAACUUCUUGCUUGCUAUUUUGACGCCAUAACUAAAGCAAGUUGCAGUCACGUUUUGGGACUUUUACGACAACCCUAAACUUAAUUAUGGAGAAGCUGUUGAACCUGGAGUACUCCAUGCCACGGAGUAACAGAAGACGGGCUCUGGGAAGAACCGUGGACCUGGACAGUUCCCUGAACUCGGAUCACCAGGGCGUCAGACCUGCCUCCAGCGAUCAGACAGCUAAAGCCGGUGAUGUUAAUCCACUUUUGCACACAAAGACGCUGAAACUAAGUGUAUUGCCCAAAUCGUGGUAAAGACCAGAAUUGAACGGAAACCCAGAUGCUUUGCCCAGAAGUAUGGUAUUGUCCCCACUACCUCACAGAGAUUAAUUCCAGACAUGGGAACAGCAGCUAACAGUCCAACCAUAGGCAAUUACAAAGCUUUACCCAGCAGGCCUCACGGAGAUGCUGACUUCCCCACGCCAGACUUGAUACCUUUCCCUCUGCUCCUCAGUCCAUGAAAUGGCCAGACCCUCUGCAAUAUGAUGACCUUCGAGUCAGUGCCAAUCCAUUGACCUUCUCCUGGUGCCGUUUCAUGGAACAUUCAAUGGAACAUGGCAGGAGCUGGCCGUUUUUC